rnacentral:misc_RNA from 1 species
AACGCAUAUGGCACCCGAGAUCUAGGUCGAGGGUAUGUCUGCCUCAGAGUCGGCGUAAAAACAUCCCCGAGGGGUCCCCCCCCCCGGGGGAGCUGGCCUUCCCAAGGGAUCGAUCGAUCCGUGGGUCCGCCGAAGGGUAGAGACGGAGGACCGGGUAAGCACCGGGCAGCCACGAUUUGGUGGGAGGAUACCUGGUAUCCGCAUCACGGUCGUGCGCCCAACCGCCCCGCGUCGCACCGCCCUGCAGGACGUUGUCGUCUAUAAUCCGACCUGAGAUCAGGCAAGACCACCCGCUGAACUUAA